rnacentral:rRNA from 1 species
UACGUAGGUGGCAAGCGUUUAUCCGGAAUUAUUGGGCGUAAAGCGCGCGCAGGUGGUUUCUUAAGUCUGAUGUGAAAGCCCACGGCUCAACCGUGGAGGGUCAUUGGAAACUGGGAGACUUGAGUGCAGAAGAGGAAAGUGGAAUUCCAUGUGUAGCGGUGAAAUGCGUAGAGAUAUGGAGGAACACCAGUGGCGAAGGCGACUUUCUGGUCUGUAACUGACACUGAGGCGCGAAAAGCGUGGGGGAGCAAACAGG